UUCCGUUUGAAAGCCGGCGAGAGCAAACCAACUUGAACAAUUGAGCAAUAGGAGAAAUGUAAUAAGCAUGUUUAUUCUCAAAAUUAAGUCAGUGGAGUGCAAGCAUUUGAUUGAGUUAUAGUUAAAUAACUUUUCAAGCGUAAAUGAGAAUACGCUAAUUUUGUGACGGUUUUGAGCGUCGGUUGGUGUUUGCUUUCGUCCGUGCACUUGAUUAAACCCAACAAACGCUUAAAUUUACAAAUGCCCAGUCGCCAGACGUCGAGUUCAUGAUAUAUAUAGUGAAUGUCUUGUGUGCGUGCGUGUUUGUCUGUGUGUGUCCUUCAUAUGGCAAUACAAUAUUUAUUGCAUCUAUAGACUGAGCUUUCCUUUUUAAUAUAAAGCCAGGCUUUGGAUGCACUAAAUGGAGUUACCUUUAAGCGAAUGAAUGGAAACAAUGUCGAUUUCCCUUUAGGCAACCAAAACAAUAGCAGAUGUGUGAUAUGAUUCGACUCACAAAACGCCAGACAGAACGUUGCAAUCAUAUCUGAACUGAGAGCAUACGUUAAAUUAUGUGUGGACAUGUCUCAAAAGAUUUAAGCAGCUAAGAUUUAACAGGAUUUAAAGCAGUGUCCAAUCCUCGCACGACAGACAGAAGAACAAAAGCUGCUUGGGUGACAUUUAGUACGAAGAGUUCGUUCUUUUUAUUUUCUUAUUUGCAGGAAAAAUACUCCAGGGACACGUAGCAGCGGCGACGUGUAGCACGACGAGUGGCACACAAGAAGCCGCUACAUCGAGCGACUUGAUGCAAAUAAACCGCAGCAAAGACGAGCAUAAGUGGCAGCAACAGCAGCAGCAGUUGCAGGAGGAGGCGACUCAAUAGCUGCUACAUAGUUGAUCUUUAGUUUCGAAAGAAGGACAACAAUUGGGCACAUGGCCAGCCGAGUGAGGAAGAGGCGGGAAGCAUUUUAGUUGCAGCUUAGCUGUGUGGCGGCUGCUGUAGGCCAAAAGGAUGUAUGCAAAAGGAUUUGACACUUUUUGGACAGUUUGCCAGUGUGGCACAAGAAAUGUAGAUUUAUAUAUAUUGCCUUCGAAAUGCAUUUUAGUUGUAGUCCUGGUUGGGCGUCGCCGCUGUCCACUGGUAAGCAGAUAAAAGCAAACAAAACUUGCUGCACUUGCCCAAUUUUGCGCCAACUCAAAGAGUCCUUUUCGGACAAAAUCCAGCACCCGGCCGCCUCUUUGGACCGCCCGCGCAUUUCUCGUGCGAAAAAACUUUAAAUUGCAAAUUCAACAAAAUUCAGAGCGAACCGAAUUCCAGAAGAAUUUACAUUUAUAAGAAAAAUUGCUUUACAAUUCUGUGUAAAUAAUUUGGCUGCAUAUGACACAGCCAACACACAAAGCAACGAAAACC